rnacentral:rRNA from 1 species
GACGAACGCUGGCGGCGUGCCUAAUACAUGCAAGUAGAACGCAGUUGCGAACGGGUGUGUAUCGCGUAGGUUACUCUCCCAUUGCGGGGGAUAUCUAUUGGAAACGCUAGCUAAUAUCGCACACUGUGAGCUGGACCUGCGUUGUAUUAGCUCGUUGGUGAGGUAAAGGCUCACCAAGGCGACGAUCCAUAGCCGGCCUGAGAGGGUGAACGGCCAAACUGGGACGGAGAAACGGCCCAGACUCCUACGGGAGGCAGCAGUAGGGAAUCUUCGGCAAUGGACGGAAGUCUGACCGAGCAACGCCGCGUGAGUGAAGAAGGUUUUCGGAUCGUAAAGCUCUGUUGUUAGGGAAGCGGUAACUGACCAGAAAGGGACGGCUAACUACGUGCCAGCAGCCGCGGUAAUUC